UACGGAGGAUGCGAGCGUUAUCCGGAUUUAUUGGGUUUAAAGGGUGCGUAGGCGGACGCUUAAGUCAGCGGUAAAAUUGCGGGGCUCAACCUCGUCGAGCCGUUGAAACUGGGUGCCUUGAGUGGGCGAGAAGUACGCGGAAUGCGUGGCGUAGCGGUGAAAUGCAUAGAUAUCACGCAGAACUCCGAUUGCGAAGGCAGCGUACCGGCGCCCAACUGACGCUGAAGCACGAAGGCGUGGGUAUCGAACAGG
rnacentral:rRNA from 1 species